rnacentral:rRNA from 1 species
CGGCACAUCCCCUGCUUGAGGGGUUCCGGUUUUUCUUUCUUUAGCAGCAGCCUUCUCCUGUCCUCCCCCUUCUUUAGGCUCCCCCCUCCUCUUCCCCUCUUCGAACCGCCGCCCUCCCGCCGCCGCUACCUGCCGCUCACCACCUCCUUCUUCACCCACCGCACCCGCCGCCGCCGCCGGUAGAAGCACCACGAGUACGAGCAGUGCGGGCGGUAGGGCGUCCUGCUCCUGAUGGUGCUGAAGCGGCUGGUCGCGCUGGAGAAGGAGCCCUAGGGAUUGUGUAACUUACACGAGAGUUUAUAGGGAAAGGAGAAACAACCAGAGCGACCCGAGUAGGACACGGUGAUGUUUUUGAUGAAGUCCGAUACGAGUGUCCCCCUCGAGACCUCAACCUGUGAGAAGAUACGACCACAGUGACGACAGCCACAACCAAGUAGGAUGAUGGUAGAGAUGGGCUUGCUACGGUGGAAUCAAACCCUGUCUAACGGAUACUGCUAACGAAAGUGCAGAUAGCACCGGUAAAAGUAGUAACUUUCCCAACUACUAUCCCGUCCUUGUUUCAGGGAACGUGGGGAACAAUAACGACCACGUGACUCGUAGGACAUGACCUCAAAGAAACUACUGGAAGCCGGUAUACGCCAUUAGGUCAAACAAGGUACGUAACAUUAUGGACACUACCGAUAUCAAUAAGGUGGUUACAUAUGUGUAAGUUCGAUGACCAACACCCGUCGUCCUAAAAUGGAAGAACGGUUUCAUCUUCUCCGUCGCCUGUUUGGAUAUAUAUCCACCUGUGUACUGUAACAAUCGCCUGUAUGAGAAUUUGUAGAUACACGACGCUACCAAGGACAAAAGAACUGAGAGUACAACCGUUUCUCCUGUUAACUUGGACUGUCCCAUUCGAAUGAGGUCUACACCUUCUAGUCAACCUCUCUUGCGCCAAGGGUUCUACCGUUGUGACAUCUGCAGUUUAUACUAAUACGACGUCAAAGUUGAUGCAGACUUGUUGUCAUCUAUACACAAAAAGUAUACAUGAGAUGAGGGCUUCACAUUUUUAUCGUAGCUAGUCUUAUAGUCCUCGGGGUCGAACGUGCCAACACAUAGUAACGGACGAUUAGCUGCAAGUAUACACCAACAAGGACUAGUUUUGAAGGACUAGUAUAGAACAUGUCCUUCCUUUUUACAUAUAGCCAAGGGAGUAGUUGAGAAACACGAGAUCAAAAACCCUUGGAGGUUGUCGGAUAUGGAGGAGGACGUGGACCUUUCUGGCAUCGGAUACAUUGACCUGCCCCUAGAUAACUCUGACGUAGACGAAGCCAACAACGACG